rnacentral:tRNA from 1 species
UCCGAUGUGGUCUAGUGGUUAGGAUUUGCCGCUCUCAUGCAGUGCCGGCAAGGCCGGGGUUCGAUUCCCCGCAUCGGAA